GAGGACAGAGCCCAGGAUAGAGCAUUUGACUACUAGAUCAAGAGGUCCCAGGUUCAAAUCCAGAUGUCCCCU
rnacentral:tRNA from 1 species